rnacentral:rRNA from 1 species
AGGCAGCAGUGGGGAAUAUUGCACAAUGGGCGCAAGCCUGAUGCAGCCAUGCCGCGUGUAUGAAGAAGGCCUUCGGGUUGUAAAGUACUUUCAGCAGUGAGGAAGGUGGGUAUGUUAAUAGCAUACUCAUUUGACGUUAGCUGCAGAAGAAGCACCGGCUAACUCCGUGCCAGCAGCCGCGGUAAUACGGAGGGUGCGAGCGUUAAUCGGAAUUACUGGGCGUAAAGCGCAUGCAGGUGGUUUGUUAAGUCAGAUGUGAAAGCCCGGGGCUCAACCUCGGAAUUGCAUUUGAAACUGGCAAACUAGAGUACUGUAGAGGGGGGUAGAAUUUCAGGUGUAGCGGUGAAAAUGCGUAGAGAUCUGAAGGAAUACCGGUGGCGAAGGCGGCCCCCUGGACAGAUACUGACACUCAGAUGCGAAAGCGUGGGGAGCAAACAGGAUUAGAUACCCUGGUAG